CAAAUACUCCCUCCGUCCAGAAAUACUUGUCAUCAAAAUGGAUAAAAGGAAAUGUAUCUAGACAUAUUUUAGUUUUAGAUACAUCUCUUUUUAUCCAUUUUGAUGACAAGUAUUUUUGGACGGAGGGAGUAGAAA
rnacentral:pre_miRNA from 1 species